ACUGUCAAUAGCAGUUGCAUAGUUGCAUCAGAGACAAAUACACUUGUCUCUGGUUUUAUUUUAUUGUUUGCAGAACACGUGUAGUAACUUGAUUUUGCUAGUGAUCUUGUGGUUUUUUAAUAUUUAUAGUUUGGAAAGAAGCGAAUCAACAAUUUUGAUCAACAGUAAGCGUAUUGUACUUUCCUCAGCGUUACAGAAUAGACCGAAAAUAGUCUCCUGUGAUUGGCUGUCCCUGCGACGUCAAGUAAGCAAUAAGAACGGCGGAACUACCAUAACCAAACCUCGAAUGUUAUUUACUUAUUUAUUUUUGCAAUAUUGGCAAAGACCAAUUACUCUCUGGUAUUGGUUCCUCUAUCUAUUUAAAAAAAAUGCAUUAUCAAUUAUUUAUAUUCGCUUAUUUGGUAUUUAGCUGAUUGUUAUGUUACCAACGAUUUUGUUAUUGAAGGGUGGAAGUACCAAUCAACUCACACAACAUUAUUAAAGUGUUUACCACGACCUUUAUCUACAUUUAAGAAAUAUUCAAGAUGAUUUUAUCAAAAAAAAUAUUUUCUUAAAUCCGCGGAUUCUGGAAGUGAUUCAGAGUUAAUAGUGUAACUUUGUAACAGAAGUAGAUGUUAAAGAGUGGCUUCAAGAGUGCUCUGAAUAUAGAAACACUAACUGGAUUAUAAAAAAUGGUAUGAUAUAUUAUAAUCCUCAAAGGUAAUAAUUUAAAGUUGAAUAUAAAUUAAUUAUACAUGCGUAAUAAUAAUAUUAUUAUCUUAGAUUAAUAUAUCACAAGUAUUUUGUGUGCCAGCAUUUCGAGACAAAUAAAAAAAACUAAAAAUAAUUCCAAUAGACUAAUAUACUGUUCUGUCAGUAUAGACAUUGAAAUUAAAAAAUGUAAUACUAGCACAAAUAAGAACGAUAAUUUUUUGAAAAAUGAAGUACCUUUACAAGGAGUUGUUAAAAUGAAAAUAAAUCAUAAUCAUAAUGUAAACACUUAUGGAUCACUUAAAUAAUUACAUUUAGUUGACAAAACUAACAGGCAAUUUGAAAGCUACUUUGACGAUGGCUUAGGAAUUAGUGAAAGUAUAAAGCGACUUCAAAAUACUUUACUUUUAAACAUUUCCAUUGGUUUGUCAGGAUGAGGUUCCAUAUGCUUCCGGAACUCGUCUUUAUCUAUGAUGUGAACUGCGUUAAUUUAGUAGUGUUGGUGGAAGUAGGCUGCGCGCGCACUUGCGAUAUGCUUAUUACUAAAUGCGUGGCUUUUUCUUUUGGAAGUGGUGCACUUUUUUGGAAAUGGUGCACUGCCAAAUUUGUUACGUUCCCACUGAUUCAUAGUUUUAAGGAUGUUUGCUAAUUGUUUUUAAUAAAACAUUUAAACUAUAGAAAUAGAGGUUUUGUAAAUGUUAUAUAAAACCUGAUAAAAAAAAUUGUUGGUACUAUUUUUGAUUUAAAUUCACAUAAAAAAGACGUUUGCAAUUGACAUCAUUAAGACGUCAACAAUUGACGCCAUUAACCGCCGUAUGCAUCGCCAAGCUACCUAAUCGCGAUGAACUAAACGCGUUUAAAAGUUAAUCCGGUUUAAGAACCCAGCAGGUAUGCACCGUUAAAAUUCAGCGGCGGAUUAGUUAAACCUUGUAAUGAUAUGGCCACUCUCACUUAAAAACCUAACCGAGAACGACUGAUUUCAUAGUCGCCAGAGGCGCUACAGACGAUAAAGAGCUACAGAAUGGGAUAACGCAAGUCAAAUGUCAAAUAAAUCUUCCCCAUUGUUGUUUAUGGGUUUGUCAUGGACAAGAUGUCUGUGGAUGUUGAUUAUUCGCUAUCAUCCAAAGAAAAAGCCUAUGCCGAUUUUAUUCAUUUCUGACGAUAUAAUCUGUGAUAAGUUGUAUUCGUGCCUCAUGCUUCCUGCACAUACUGGAUUGUGAUAUGUUUCCCCAUGUUCUCCAAUACGUAAUUUGUGAAUGUUUUGCUGGAUUAUCUUUUUCCUUAUCUGUUUUCAUAAAUCGUCAAUAAUCUGCGAAGAUGGUAGCUGUUUAUUGGUGUCUUGAAGGCUGUUAGAAAAUGCACGGCUUCCUAUCACAAAAGGCGUAUGUUUUAAAGUUGUUCCUAAAAAUGCUUCAAAGAUUUUUUUAUCUGUAAAAAGUAUUUAUAUAAACAAUAAACAACAAGUAAUAUAUAUAUUUAUAUGUAUUUUUGUGUAGUUGUGUCAUUUAUCCCUAUUAUCUGCUGCCCCUUGCGGCACAAUUAAAAAUAAGCAAGUGUAGUGGGAUCAUAAUGCAGGUUUGUUUGAGUUCUUUAAUUCUCAGCCACCAGGGCGCGCCACUUUAGCGACACACUUUCCACAAGAGUAAGAGUCGUUUCUAUAUAAACCUUGUCCUAUGGAUAUGGCAACCGUGUUCUAGUGUUCGCGUUAUCAACUUUUGCGCGGUGUUCCAAUGAAUGUGCCGCCGUUCGUGUUAAAUAUCCCUGUUAAAGGGAGAAAAUAUAACUGCGAUCCAUUGCGGCUAUUUGCCAAAAAUUAUAUGAGAAUACGAUUUUUCUUCUAGGAAAAGACCUAUUAACGGUGAAAACCGUUAUUAAUUGUUGAGAAAAUCAAGCAAUAAAGUACCACAAAAUUA